UACGGAGGGGGCUAGCGUUGUUCGGAAUUACUGGGCGUAAAGCGCACGCAGGCGGAUUUAUAAGUCAGGGGUGAAAUCCCGGGGCUCAACCUCGGAAUUGCCUUUGAUACUGUCUAUCUUGAGUCCGGGAGAGGUGAGUGGAAUUCCUAGUGUAGAGGUGAAAUUCGUAGAUAUUAGGAAGAACACCAGUGGCGAAGGCGGCUCACUGGCCCGGUACUGACGCUCAUGUGCGAAAGCGUGGGGAGCAAAUAGG
rnacentral:rRNA from 1 species